rnacentral:rRNA from 1 species
CAGCCGCCGCGGUAAUACGUAGGGUGCAAGCGUUAAUCGGAAUUACUGGGCGCAAAGCGUGCGCAGGCGGUUCGUUAAGACAGAUGUGAAAUCCCCGGGCUUAACCUGGGAACUGCAUUUGUGACUGGCGGGCUAGAGUAUGGCAGAGGGGGGUAGAAUUCCACGUGUAGCAGUGAAAUGCGUAGAGAUGUGAGGAAUACCGAUGGCGAAGGCAGCCCCCUGGGCCAAUACUGACGCCCAUGCACGAAAGCGUGGGGAGCAAACAGGAUUAGAUACCCCUGUAGUCCCUGUCUCUUAUACC